rnacentral:rRNA from 1 species
GAUGAACGCUGGCGGCGUGCCUAACACAUGCAAGUCGAGCGAAGCACUUACUUUAGAUUUCUUCGGAAUGACGAAGUUUGUGACUGAGCGGCGGACGGGUGAGUAACGCGUGGGCAACCUGCCCUGUACAGGGGGAUAACAGUUAGAAAUGACUGCUAAUACCGCAUAAGCCCACAGCUUCGCAUGAAGCAGUGGGAAAAACUCCGGUGGUACAGGAUGGGCCCGCGUCUGAUUAGCUAGUUGGUAAGGUAACGGCUUACCAAGGCGACGAUCAGUAGCCGACCGGAGAGGGUGACCGGCCACAUUGGGACUGAGACACGGCCCAAACUCCUACGGGAGGCAGCAGUGGGGAAUAUUGCACAAUGGGGGAAACCCUGAUGCAGCGACGCCGCGUGAGCGAUGAAGUAUUUCGGUAUGUAAAGCUCUAUCAGCAGGGAAGAAAGUGACGGUACCUGACUAAGAAGCCCCGGCUAACUACGUG